rnacentral:rRNA from 1 species
GACGAACGCUGGCGGCGUGCUUAACACAUGCAAGUCGAGCGGUAAGGCCCUUUCGGGGGUACACGAGCGGCGAACGGGUGAGUAACACGUGGGUGACCUGCCCUUAGCUCUGGGAUAAGCCUGGGAAACUGGGUCUAAUACCGGAUAUGACUCCAUAACGCAUGUUGUGGGGUGGAAAGCCUUGUGCGGCUAGGGAUGGGCCCGCGGCCUAUCAGCUUGUUGGUGGGGUGAUGGCCACCAAGGCGACGACGGGUAGCCGGCCUGAGAGGGCGACCGGCCACACUGGGACUGAGACACGGCCCAGACUCCUACGGGAGGCAGCAGUGGGGAAUCUUGCGCAAUGGGCGAAAGCCUGACGCAGCGGCGCCGCGUGGGGA